CGGUGAAUACGUUCCCGGACCUUGUACACACCGCCCGUCAAGCCAUGGAAGCCGGGUGUACCUAAAGUCGAUAACCGCAAGGAGUCGCCUAGGGUAAACUGGUGACUGGGGCU
rnacentral:rRNA from 1 species